rnacentral:lncRNA from 10 species
GUAAGAAGCCAGCUGGCAUUUGUCCAUAUGAUGGGAACGACAGGCAAGAAAUCCUCAGGGACGGGGGAAGAUUUCUCCAAAGAAUCUAGAAAUCCUUCUGCAAAAAAGAGUCAGUGCAAAUAUCUGCUGAUCAAAUUGGAACAUCCCCAGCUCAAAUUUUCACUCUUCCUGCAGCUCUAAAGUAGAUCCUAAAGGGGGUGUGUGUGUGUGUUUGUGCACGCGCGUGUGCGCGCGUGUUUGGGGUGGGGUGUUAAGUGGGAACAGAUGAGAGGGAAGUAGAGCAGAAGAGGAGCAGUACCAUCUCCAGCUCAAGUGCAGUCUGCUUCCUGCACAGGCCUGGGCUGGGAGGAGGAGGGGCUGGUUGUCUGAAUGAAGCUGUAAACUUCGACUUCUAGAUGGAACUGACAUUCUAAUGACUAGCAGGAGACUGUGUGUUACUUAAGAAUGGCCAGAAAAGCCAAGAAACUGCCCAGCUUUUUAUUGGGGCAGAGAAAAACCCAGUGCAUGGAAUUCAUUGCAAGGAAUAUCAGAAGACCAAACAAUGUGAUCCUUACACCUAGUGAAUACUCUGGUUCGAUGUGCUGGUUACAUUUAGAAUUCCAGGAGAGAAAUAGUACUCCCUGGGAGAAGACGCUCUUAACUCAGAGAUGCGGAGACAAUCACAAAUGUAAGUAAUUUGCCAAAGUUCAUCAAGCAGUAAUGGAUGCAUCUGGGGUAAAUUAGAACUCUUAGCCCAGUAGAGUGGGGGAGUUGGGGCUGUAGAUGGACAAGAUUGACCAUGAGUUGAUCAUUGUUAGAGGCUGGUCUGAGCAGAUGGGGCACAUUAUACCAUUCCCUCUAUUCUCUUUUUCAUGUUUGGAAAUUUCCAUAAUAAAAAGUUAAAGAGUGUGUUGAGCAAGCAGUUUGGUGAGGAUGCUGAACAAUCAGAGGCUGUAGAUUAUAAAUGACUGGGAGGCCCACACCUGUGCAUUCUGGCUGAGGCCCAGCCCUGGUGCAGCAGGGAUUCAAACCCACCAGUCUGCCUGUAGCCCACAUUUCCACUGCCUCCCCAGACUGCCUGCUUUGUUGAAAUGGCCAAAGGAG